GUACUGAAGGCUUUGAUGGGAGAAAGCAUCUCAUUUCCCAUUUCUGAGUAAGUGGGAGCCAGCAGCUGACCUUCCAGCAGAUGAGAGCAGGGAGUCCAACGUUCUCCUUCAGUAAGUCUAUUGUGAAUGGACUGUGCAACCAGAGUAUCCCUGUUCAGAAUCCCAGCAUGUGUAUCCAAAUCUGACAUCCAUUUCCAGGAGCAAAUAUUUGCCACUGAAGCUUAAGAUGUUAUUUCACAGUGGAAAUCGUAUCAGCCAAUUUUAGAAGAGUUUAAAGCUCGUGACAUUUCCUGUCUCUUUUGGGAAAUUUGUGUAUGCUAAAAAAAAAAAUAUUCUUAAGAAUCAGAAUCAAUUUCGUCCCAAAAUAACAUCAAUUUUUUGCCUUCUCUUCAUAACUUCUGAUGUUGACAGUCACUUAUGCUUGAGGAUAAAGACAUCAGCCCGAAGGGGGAAAAAGCAGAUGUGGAAAAAAUUUGUAAGAUUUGAAAAAGUGCCCCUGUAUUAAAUUUCUGAUUCUGCUGUGAAGGAUCUUCUCAUGAUGAGUGAAAGGAAGGAAAACCCACAAAGUCAACCUCUUGGGUGGGUGGAAGGAAAGAAUGGAAGAAAUUUUUAAAAAGACAUUUUUUGUUCAAAAUGGAAUCACUUGCUCAAGACAAAAGCAAAAUAAAAUGAAACAGGAAGAACCCCAAAUUACAAAUAUUAUCAAGAGCUUAGUGUUAUUUACAAAUUGAUUUGAAUAAAUGCAAUUGCUUUUUGUAUGCAUCUAUAUAUAUUUGAAUUUAUAUGUGUAUUUUUACUGGUUUUAUUAAAAAUGUUUUCUAAUCACAAAAU
rnacentral:lncRNA from 1 species